rnacentral:miRNA from 1 species
AUCCAUGAUUUGUAGUGACGGUUU